UACGUAGGGUGCAAGCGUUAUCCGGAAUCACUGGGCGUAAAGCGUGCGUAGGCGGGAUUUUAAGUGAGAUGUUAAAUCGUGUGGCUCAACCAUAUCGAUGCAUCUCAUACUGGAGUCCUAGAGGAUGGCAGAGGCAAGUGGAAUUGGUAGUGUAGCAGUGAAAUGCGUAGAUAUUACCAGGAACACCAAUGGCGAAGGCAGCUUGUUGGGCCACCCCUGACGCUGAGGUACGAAAGCGUGGGGAGCGAACAGG
rnacentral:rRNA from 1 species